CUGCUGACCAUGUCAAAGAGCCAGAGCAUUACUCUGCUGGCCCUCAAUCAUUUUCUCCACCCUGCAGCCUUCCUGACUCAUCUCCGUUGUAUCUCCCAGUGGCAUCCAAGGGUCAAUAUCUUCCUGUGGUCUGUAGCUCCCGUCUGACUUCACUGCUCUUUUCUGGCCACCGGACGUCAUUAAAAAGCUCAGAAUAUCAGCCAAGGGAAGUCUGAUGGAGUCCAGUGCGCGGUGCAUUGUUUUGAAACCAUGUUGCUUUGGGCUUUUGUUAUUUCUGGCACUGCAGGACUGCCUCCUGCACAUCGACUGUAUUCAACUGUAAGAAGCAUAUAUAGUUAUUUUCCGCCUACGACUUCAUUGCCAAAUCAAACAAUGCCAUUUCCAAGGAUUUCCUCUAAGUUUAAAUUCAUUUCCUGUUUCUGGGAUGACAACCCUAUC